rnacentral:rRNA from 1 species
GACGAACGCUGGCGGCGUGCCUAACACAUGCAAGUCGAACGGAAAGGCCCUGCUCUUGCGGGGUGCUCGAGUGGCGAACGGGUGAGAAACACGUGAGUAAACCGCACUUGAAUUAGGGAUAAAUUCAGGAAAAUGGGGAUCAUAUCGGAUAGGAGCUCUUGCUCCACGGUGGGCGUUGGUAAGUGUGGGCGGUUGGGGAUGGACUAGAGGCUACUCGGCUUGUUGGUGGGGUAGGGGCGUACCAAGUUUUCGAGGGGUACCCGGCCUGGGAGGGUAGCCGGCCACAUUACGCCUGAGAGACGGCCCAGACUCCAACCGGACGCAGCAGGGGAAAGUAUUGCGCAAUAGGCGGGAGCCAGAUGCGACGACGCCGCGUGCGGGAUGACGGCCUUCGGGUUGUAAACCACUUUCUCCUGUGACGAGGCGUGAUUGACGGUAAUGGGUAAGGAAGCACCGGCUAACUACGUG